UACGGCAACAUCACUUUGAAACAGUGGUUCUUGUACAAACCCCUGAAGUUAAGCAAUGUUGAGCCAGGUGAGUACCUAGAUGGGUGACCACUUGGGGAUACCAGGAGUUGUAA